GGAUGUCCCCGUUGGCAAGAGGAGCGCAGGCACAGCUCAGCUCGGCGGGCUGGCAGAAACUAUGAAGCCUUAGGCCAUCACUAAAGAUUUCUCCUCCUAAAGGAAAAGUUGCAGACUUUGUAACCCAAACCAUGGCCCAAAAGAGGGGGUUCAUCUUCAGUGAAGAAAGUGUAUGGCUUCUACAUCUAAGCCAACUUGAAAGGUGAAAUCACUGCCCUCCCCCCUACGUGGGAUCAGACAC